AAGGAAACCUUAGAGACGAAGAAUGAAGAAAUUGCCUCUUUUUUUUUGUUUGUGCUGGCUACUGAGAGCUAUGCUAACUCUAUGUUUCAUAGAAUCAUAGGAUUAUUAAAGUUUGAAAAGGCCGCUAAGAUCAUCUAGUCCAACCAUCAAUCUGUCACCAGCAUGCCCACUAAACCAUGUCCCUCAGUGCCACAUCCACCCUUUUCUUGAACACCUCCAAGGACAACGACUCCACCUCCCUGGGCAGUCUGUUCCAGUGCCUUAUCAAAAGCUUCCAUUCCCAGCCUCACUGACCUUGAUUCUGAAAAUGCUGAAAACAAAUAUUUUCAGAAGAGAGAGACUCAGAGCUUUGUAUCUACUUACCUACAUUUAGUCUGUACCUGAGAACAAGCAGAUAGAUGUGAGUAAGAGCAUACAGAUACAUCACAGUGUGAAGAUGAGCACCACAAGGCUGAACUAAAC
ensembl:lncRNA